CAGAAUCACAGAAGAGACAAUAUCGAAGCUGAGGAAGCUCACCAGGCUGAGAAAAGGGAGCCGAGGUCAAACCAAGGAAAUGGGAAAACAGCAGAGCAAGCGUGGAUGGUGAACAGUUUGACCUGGGGGUCAUCACCCAGGGAGGCAACGCGCUCCCAGAGCACCACAGGGAUCUGGUGAAACAGGAUCUGAAAUAGGAUGACCAGGAUGUAGAAAGACCCCUCAUUCCAAGUCUUCAACCAGAGGGCAAGAUAGUCUGUUGAUGCAGGAGGCAGUUCAAGAUGCACCAGAGAACAGAGAAAGCAGAAUAUGGAUCUGGAGGGGCAAAUAAAAGUCACAUA
ensembl:lncRNA